UACAGAGGUCCCAAGCGUUGUUCGGAUUCAUUGGGCGUAAAGGGUGCGUAGGCGGCGCGGUAAGUCGGGUGUGAAAUCUCGGGGCUUAACUCCGAAACUGCAUUCGAUACUGCCGUGCUUGAGGACUGGAGAGGAGACUGGAAUUUACGGUGUAGCGGUGAAAUGCGUAGAUAUCGUAAGGAAGACCAGUGGCGAAGGCGGGUCUCCGGACAGUUCCUGACGCUGAGGCACGAAGGCCAGGGGAGCAAACGGG
rnacentral:rRNA from 1 species